AACGAACGCUGGCGGCGUGCUUAACACAUGCAAGUCGAACGGAAAGGCCUCUUUCGGUGGGUCCUCGAGUGGCGAACGGGUGAGUAAGACGUGAGUACCCUGCCCUUUACUUUGGGGUAACUUCAGGAAACUGGGGCUAAUACCGGAUAGCAGAUCCUGCUGCAUGGUGGGGGCUGGAAAGUUUCGGGGGUUGGGGGUGGACUGGCGGCGUAUCAGCUUGUUGGGGGGGGAGUGGUUUACCCAGGCUUUGGCGGGUAGCCGGCCUGAGAGGGUGACCGGCCACACUGGGACUGAGAGACGGCCCAGGCUCCGACUGGUGGAAGAAGUGGGGAAUAUUGCACAAGGGGUGGAAGGCUGAUGCAGCAACGCCUCGGGCGGGAUAACGGCCUUCGGGUUGAAAAACGGCUUCGCUCAUGACGAAGCUUUGUGUGACGGUAGUGGGUAAAGAAGCACCGGCUAACUACGUG
rnacentral:rRNA from 1 species